rnacentral:lncRNA from 1 species
CAAUGGUAUCAAACUAUCAACUCAGUUGUUCGUUUAGAUUUCGUGAGCACAUGUAUGCGUCACAACACUAUGAUAUCGAGAAACGGAGAAAGAGUGACAUUUGGGUGGCCUGGGCUUCUUCCAUUUAUCUUGGGCUUCAGUCUUUUCUCCUUUGGAACUGUUGAGAUUUGAGUUCUUGAUUAAACCUGCAACAAAGAGAAAGCUUUAGUGAGAAGAAGAAGAUGAAGAAAAGAGAAGAACCAAAAGCUAAGAAGAAAGGCUCGUGAUUGAAGGAAGAAGAAAAGUCAAUAAGAGAAGUGGGUUCAAUCUUUGAAUAAUGUCUUUGAAUAAAGUAAGAGAAGUGGACAAAAUGACAAGUGAGAGUGGGAUCACAAUGUUGAAUAAUGUCUUAAAGAGAAAGAAGAGUUGUUAGUAGAAAGUAUGGUCUAGAGUCUAAGUGAGUGGAGUGGAGACAAACCACUAUAUCUAUGUGUGUGUUGUGUUGUAAGAAUGUAUCCAAGUUGAUUAUCAAUGUAGUUUUGAAAGUAAAAACGUUUCUUGUGUCCUCUCUAAGCAAGAACAAGAACAUAGUGUGAUCAUGAGAGAGAGACAUAAAGAAAGAGUGAACUAACCUCAAUGAGGUUAGAAGUGAG